rnacentral:rRNA from 1 species
UACGAAGGGGGGCGAGCGUUGUUCGGAUUUACUGGGCGUAAAGGGCGCGCAGGCGGCUCAUUUUGUCAGGCGUGAAAGCCCCGGGCUUAACCUGGGAACUGCGUUUGAUACGGAUGGGCUAGAGUUCGGGAGAGGAGAGUGGAAUUCCCAGUGUAGAGGUGAAAUUCGUAGAUAUUGGGAAGAACACCGGUGGCGAAGGCGGCUUUCUGGGACGGUACUGACGCUGAGACGCGAAAGCGUGGGGGAGCGAACAGG